UGCCAUCGCCACGCCGAACUCGGUGCUGAGCGAGGAAGCUUUCAAGAAGUUGGGGACCGGUGGGUUCUCGGAGAGCGAGGUUGACGCGAGUGAGGAUGAGGGCGGCUUCGUGUCUGAGGGUGGCGAGGCUGAGAGUGUGAGCGAGGACGAGCUAGCUCUCUCCAAGCUGGGUUUGCCUCAGAGGCUCGUGGAAUUUCUUGAGAAACGUGGCAUUGCCCAUCUCUUUCCCAUUCAAAGAGCGGUGUUAACCCCUGUGCUUGAAGGGUGUGAUUUAAUUGCUCGUGCGAAGACUGGAACGGGGAAGACUUUAGCUUUCGGGAUUCCAUACUGAAGCGUCUUACUGAUGGUGAUGAACAUAGAAGUCCGAGAUGUGGGCGACUUCCUAGAGUUUUGGCCUUAGCACCAACAAGAAAAUUAGCAAAACAAGUAGAGAAAGAAAUUAAGGAAUCUACACCUUACUUAAACACCGUGUGUGUUUAUGGUGGAGUUUCUUACAUUACCCAACAAAUUGUCCUU